rnacentral:rRNA from 2 species
GCGAGUGAACCGGGAAGAGCUCAAAUUUGAAAUCUGGCAGUCUUCGAUUGUCCGAGUUGUAAUCUAUAGAAGCGUUUUCCGUGCUGAACUGUGUAUAAGUCCCUUGGAACAGGGUAUCAAAGAGGGUGACAAUCCCGUACUUUACACAAUCAUCAGUGCUCUGUGAUACGUUCUCUACGAGUCGAGUUGUUUGGGAAUGCAGCUCAAAAUGGGUGGUAAAUUCCAUCUAAAGCUAAAUAUUGGCGAGAGACCGAUAGCGAACAAGUACCGUGAGGGAAAGAUGAAAAGCACUUUGGAAAGAGAGUUAAACAGUACGUGAAAUUGUUGAAAGGGAAACGAUUGAAGUCAGUCGUGUUCAUUGGACUCAGCCGGUUUUCGGUGUAUUUCCUUUGAACGGGUCAACAUCAGUUUUGUCCGGUGGAUAAAGGUAGUAGGAAGGUGGCUCCCCCGGGAGUGUUAUAGCCUAUUGCCACAUACACUGGAGGAGACUGAGGACUGCAGCUUGCCUUUAUGGCCGGGGUUCGCCCACGUUCAAGCUUAGGAUGUUGACAUAAUGGCUUUAAACGACCC